UCCGGUGGUGAAGGCGUGAUGGACACACCCGUUGCCCAUACCGAACACGGAAGUUAAGCAUCACAGCGGCGAAGAUAGUCCGAGAGGGCGAAAGGAGCACGCUGCCGGGC
rfam:Eggerthia catenaformis OT 569 = DSM 20559 genomic scaffold acdBZ-supercont1.1, whole genome shotgun sequence.